AGGUGCGAUCAUACCAGCACUAAUGCACCGGAUCCCAUCAGAACUCCGCAGUUAAGGAAUAGUUCUUUGGUCACGAAGUCAGAAUUGGACAAAUCCUAUGAGGUUUUUGGGUGGAAAACCAUGAGUAUUAUAUGACCCGUCGCGUUGC
rnacentral:rRNA from 2 species